UACGGAGGGGGCUAGCGUUGUUCGGAAUUACUGGGCGUAAAGCGCACGUAGGCGGCUUUGUAAGUUAGAGGUGAAAGCCCGGAGCUCAACUCCGGAAUUGCCUUUAAGACUGCAUCGCUAGAAUUGUGGAGAGGUAAGUGGAAUUCCGAGUGUAGAGGUGAAAUUCGUAGAUAUUCGGAAGAACACCAGUGGCGAAGGCGACUAACUGGACACGUAUUGACGCUGAGGUACGAAAGCGUGGGGAGCAAACAGG
rnacentral:rRNA from 1 species